rnacentral:tRNA from 1 species
GCUCCUCUAGCUCAGUUGGUCAGAGCAUCCGCCUCUUAAGCGGAGGGUCCUCGGUUCAAGCCCGAGGGGGAGCACCA